CUGGUUUUUAGAAUUCUUAAGAUCAUCUGUGGUGAAAAGUAGUUAUGAAGCUGGGCUUGGUGACAGACCACCAUGGGAUCCCAGCACUCAACAGGCAGAUGUUAGUUCAAGGUCGGUCUACAUAGCAAGUUCCAGACCAGCCACAGUUACAAGGUGGGAUGCUACCUACUGGUUAUGGGAAUUUCAUAAUUCAGGAUAACAGUGGUGUAUCUUACGUACUUUUGUGACUUGCCCAUAUCCACCACUGGAUUUUGGUCCGAGACUUCGUGUCUUCUCCUUGGAAAUGCUGGGCCUGUGGGGAGGUGUUGUGCAGUGUCAGAUGCAGGAGAUUCCCGUCUUUGUCUCGUCUUGUGCUGUUCUCCCACGGUGAAGCACUGGCUUUGCAACACUGAGAAAUAAAUAAAACACUCAUGUCCUUGUUCG
rnacentral:lncRNA from 1 species